GACGACCGCUGGCGGCGUGCUUACCACAUGCAAGUCGAACGAAGUGGCGAACGGGUGAGUAAUACGUGGGUAACCUGCCCUCCUUUUUGGGAUAAGCCUUGGAAACGGGGUCUAAUACCGAAUAUAGGGGGAUGGGCUCGCGGCCUAUCAGCUUGUGGGUGGGGUGAUGGCCUACCAAGGCGUUGACGGGUAGCCGGCCUGAGAGGGUGACCGGCCAAAUUGGGACGGGGAUCCGGCCCAGACUCCUACGGGAGGCAGCAGUGGGGUAUAUUGCACAAUGGGCGAAAGUCUGACGGAGCAACGCCGCGUGAGUGAUGACGGCCUUCGGGUUGUAAAGCUCUGUUAAUCGGGACGCGGUACCGGAAUAGAAAGCCACGGCUAACUACGUGCCAGCAGCCGCGGUAAUUC
rnacentral:rRNA from 1 species